UUUCGCAUUUGUUCUUUACGUGGUCUUAUUUCCAAUCCAGACUGCUGCAAUCUAGCAGGAGAGAGGGGAAGGAGAGAGUGAAGGACAACCAAGAUAUCUGCAAGUCAAAACCAGUAAGAUGAAGUCCUAUGAAAAACACAUUCAACAAAAGGAAUAGUUUUUAGCAAGCAAAAGUUUUUAGGAAGGGAUGCUGCCUAUUGCAUCUCUCAGAUGCUCUCAGAAUAUUCCAAAAUGGAUGUCUGAGACUUCUACAGCAGUAAAAUCAAUGUGCAAUCAAUUGAAGAGCAAUCAAUUCCUUCUGUGAAACUAAAUAUUUUGCAUGCAUCUGCAUGUUCAUGAGGCUGCUUGCUUUUCAUGUUGGGUUGGAGUGGGUGCACAACCCAGGUACCUGUGUAUUAAUGAUAUGACCUUUGCUAACUUUUGAAAUGUUAUCCCAGAAACACUUAAUCAAAGGAUCGAAAAAACCACCAGGCCACUUCAAAUUGGUACUGGACAGUUUAUAAGGAGGAGAUACUAUAACGCUGGCAGCAUUGUUAAACAUUUACGUUGCAUCUCUCCUGACAGAGAAACAUUGAGGAAAUCAGUUCAAGCCUGAAAUCACUUUACAAGUAAUGACAGAGAGUUAAAUAGAUAUUUACAGAUUAGGGAAUUGCUUCUUGAGGGCUUAAAUCCACUUAAUGCAGACAAAGAAUAUUGCCUUGGUAAAAUGAAUGUGUUAGCCUUAGAGGCUGCAAGUAAGGAAAUAAGCAAAGAGGUAAUUGUCUGUUUUUCCUGCUUUGGGAUUUUGUUUAGGGAAUUUGAAACUAGAGAAACAAAUAUCACUCUUUUAAUUGUUUGAAAUAAAAGCAAAACAUAAGAUAUGAGUUAAAUUAAGAGUGAUUUGUUUCAUUUUGGGGGAGUCUAGGGUACCCUAAGAAAAACAGAAGGUAAGAAGGGGAGAAAAAUAAUGGAGAAAAAAUUAACUUCAAAACCCUUUACACUACUCUGAAUGUGAUAAAACACCUGUCAAGUAUCUGAACACUCAUGAGUAUGAUUGAACACAGAUCAAAAAAAGAAGAUCUAAAUUUUCAGAGUUCUUAGUUGCACUGUGCAAUUAGUUAUCCACCAUCUGUAGAGCAUCAGGGUGGGCCCAUUACUUGAUGUGCCAGGUCCUGACCCUUUUAUGGGUGGUCAUCCUGGCACUCAUCAUAUAAGAUCAAGUGCUUAUAACAUUAGGCUGGUAAUAGUGGAGAGGUUUUAGGGGGCAGGACAUUCAUACAAUGAGAAAUUAAGAAUCUUAGUGCUGACUUGGCAUCAGAAAUGAGCAGAUGUUUGGAUCCAUGGGUGAAGCUGUCUCCUACAGGCAUAGGCCCCAUCUCUCUGCAAUCACAACAGAUUUGCAUCUGGUCUGACAGUCUUCCUGAAAGUGUGAUAGAGAGCUAACCAGGCUAUCAAUUUUAAAGGCAUUUGGAGGCAUAGGUGAAUGAGUCAUGAAGAAAAUCACAUUUCCCACUAAAUGGCCAGAUUUUGCAUGUGUCCAUCCAUACCUGCUAUUAUGUUCUCAUUUUAAUGGUGUUGUCACAAUUACAUUAUCAAUGCUUUGUUUUGUCUUGAUGUUCUACUGAAAUUUAAGGUGAAACGACUUGGGAAUCUAAGUUGGUCUCUUCCUAUCCAGUACUUGAUUCACUUCCAGGUUUUUCUGUUCAUAUUCAGAACAGCAGAGGAAAAAGCACUGCUAUAGUUAUUAAUUUUUCAAGACCUGCAACUUACACAACAUACAUAGUUUUCUUCUGAAGCCGUAAGAUUACAAGGAGAAAUCACAAGAGGGAUGGUAAACUCUUCUGCAUGCACAAAAAGCAAGUAGAUUUAAAAGCAAAUAGAUUUCAUUGAGCUGACAAAAGUAUGCAGGAAUAUGAAGAAUUUAGUAAUGGUCUUAAACACACUCUAGUUAAUGUGAGUCUCAUCUACCUCCAGAGUUUCUUUGGUUUACGCUAUCCAGGUAGAUUUCUUUGGUUUACACUAUCCAGGUGUCUUUGGGUUAACAAAAGAUGAUAUAUAUGACUGGAUCUUUUGGUCAUCCACUUACUCCAAUAACAAAGACCAAUACCAAAAAUCACUCAUGGUGGAUGCUAAAGGUGAAACAUAUUUUAUACUUCUAUCACAGUCCUAGAUUGGUUCUGUGUGGAGGCAUCUCACAUUGACACAUAUGGAUAAACCAACAUACUGGGCCAAAAUUAGCAGGACUGCUUUUUGUAUUAGCUUUCAGCCUUGCUCACUUCCCUCAUAUCCCUUCCCUCUCCUCAUCUUUCCACAGUAACAUCCAUUCCGUUUUCUCUGAGCUGAUGCCAGGAUGGGUUCACUGUGUGCAUGGCUCUUGUUGGUGUGUGCCACUGUGGCUAUCUUGAAUGGUAUUUACUGGUAGCUCAUGAGAGAAAAGCUGGAGGUCUCUGUUAGACAUCAAGCUCUGUCCUACCGCUUUGAUUACAGCAGCAGAACAGUCAGGUUACUGAACCUGUUACAUAAUUGUGUAUUAAUUAUAUGAUUCAGGAUGCUGAGUAAGCCUCCUAAGAAGAAAAUGCA